rnacentral:rRNA from 1 species
AUUGAACGCUGGCGGCAGGCCUAACACAUGCAAGUCGAGCGAGCGGCGGACGGGUGAGUAAUGCCUGGGAAUUGCCCAGUAGAGGGGGAUAACAGUUGGAAACGACUGCUAAUACCGCAUACGAUUGGAUUGACAAGGUUGGAUUAGCUCGUUGGUGAGGUACUGGCUCACCAAGGCUACGAUCCCUAGCUGGUCUGAGAGGAUGAUCAGCCACACUGGAACUGAGACACGGUCCAGACUCCUACGGGAGGCAGCAGGUGGGAAUAUUGCACGAUGGGGUAAACCCUGAUGCAGCCAUGCCUCGUGUGUGAAGAAGGCCUUCGGGUUGUAAAGCACUUUCAGCGAGGAGGCGUUACUCGCACAAGAAGCACCGGCUAACUCCGUGCCAGCAGCCGCAGUAAUAC